AAAACUUUCAACAACGGAUCUCUUGGUUCUGGCAUCGAUGAAGAACGCAGCGAAAUGCGAUAAGUAAUGUGAAUUGCAGAAUUCAGUGAAUCAUCGAAUCUUUGAACGCACAUUGCGCCCCCUGGCACUCCGGGGGGCAUGCCUGUUCGAGCGUCAUUGC
rnacentral:rRNA from 2 species